rnacentral:rRNA from 1 species
GAUGAACGCUAGCUACAGGCUUAACACAUGCAAGUCGAGGGGAAACGACAUCGAAAGCUUGCUUUUGAUGGGCGUCGACCGGCGCACGGGUGAGUAACGCGUAUCCCACCUGCCCAUCACUUGGGAAUAACCUUGCGAAAGUAAGACUAAUACCCAAUGACAUCCCACGAAGACAUCUGAAUGGGAUUAAAGAUUUAUCGGUGAUGGAUGGGGAUGCGUCUGAUUAGCUUGUUGGCGGGGUAACGGCCCACCAAGGCAACGAUCAGUAGGGGUUCUGAGAGGAAGGUCCCCCACAUUGGAACUGAGACACGGUCCAAACUCCUACGGGAGGCGGCAGUGAGGAAUAUUGGUCAAGGGGCGAGAGCCUGAACCAGCCAAGUAGCGUGCAGGAUGACGGCCCUAUGGGUUGUAAACUGCUUUUAUAAGGGAAUAAAGUGGGUCUCGGGAGACUUUUUGCAUGUACCUUAUGAAUAAGGACCGGCUAAUUCCGUG